rnacentral:rRNA from 1 species
CCUACGGGUGGCAACAGUGGGGAAUAUUGGACAAUGGGGGGAACCCUGAUCCAGCGACGCCGCGUGAGUGAAGAAGUAUUUCGGUAUGUAAAGCUCUAUCAGCAGGGAAGAAAGAAAUGACGGUACCUGACUAAGAAGCCUCGGCUAACUACGUGCCAGCAGCCGCGGUAAUACGUAGGGGGCAAGCGUUAUCCGGAUUUACUGGGUGUAAAGGAAGCGUAGACGGUUACGCAAGUCUGGAGUGAAAGGCGGGGGCCGAACCCCCGGACUGCUUUGGAAACUGUAUAACUGGAGUGCAGGUGAGGUAAGUGGAAUGCCUAGUGUAGCGGUGACAUGCGUAGAUAUUAGGAGGAACACCAGUGGCGAAGGCAGCUUACUGGACUGUAACUGACGUUGAGGCUCGAAAGCGUGGGGAGCAAACAGGAUUAGAUACCCGGGUAGUC